rnacentral:piRNA from 1 species
UGGAGCCUUUCCACACAGAUCAUGAUGAG